AGUGAACGCUGGCGGUAGGCCUAACACAUGCAAGUCGAACGGCAGCACAGUAAGAGCUUGCUCUUACGGGUGGCGAGUGGCGGACGGGUGAGGAAUACAUCGGAAUCUACUUUUUCGUGGGGGAUAACGUAGGGAAACUUACGCUAAUACCGCAUACGACCUACGGGUGAAAGCAGGGGAUCUUCGGACCUUGCGCGAUUGAAUGAGCCGAUGUCGGAUUAGCUAGUUGGCGGGGUAAAGGCCCACCAAGGCGACGAUCCGUAGCGGGUCUGAGGGGAUGGUCAGCCACACUGGAACUGAGACACGGUCCAGACUCCUACGGGAGGCAGCAGUGGGGAAUAUUGGACAAUGGGCGCAAGCCUGAUCCAGCCAUACCGCGUGGGUGAAGAAGGCCUUCGGGUUGUAAAGCCCUUUUGUUGGGAAAGAAAAGCAGCAGGUUAAUACCCCGCUGUUCUGACGGUACCCAAAGAAUAAGCACCGGCUAACUUCGUG
rnacentral:rRNA from 1 species